rnacentral:rRNA from 1 species
AUUGAACGCUGGCGGCAUGCCUUACACAUGCAAGUCGAACGGUAACAGGUGUUCGUUUGCUGUCGAGCGGUGCAGGGGUGAGUAUUACAACGGAACGUGCCCAGACGUUGGGGGAAACGAGGCGAAAGCUGUGCUAAUACCGCAUACGAUCUAAGAUAGAAAGCCGGAGACCGCAAGGCUUUGUGCGGUUGUUGCGGUCGCUGGCAGAUUAGCUAGUUGGUGGGAUAAAGGCUUACCAAGCCGACGAUUCGUAGCUGGUCUGAGAGGACGACCCGCCACACUGGGACUGAGACACGGCCCAGACUCCUACGGGAGGCAGCAGUGGGGAAUUUUGGACAAUGGGCGAAAGCCUGAUCCAGCAAUGCCGCGUGCAGGAUGAAGGCCUUCGGGUUGUAAAAUGCUUUUGUUCGGAACGAAAAGGCUCUGGCUAAUACCUGGGGCACAUGACGGUACCGUAAGAGUAAGCACCGGCUAACUACGUG